rnacentral:rRNA from 1 species
GACGAACGCUGGCGGCGUGCUUAACACAUGCAAGUCGAACGGAAAGGCCCUGCUUUUGUGGGGUGCUCGAGUGGCGAACGGGUGAGUAACACGUGAGUAACCUGCCCUUGACUUUGGGAUAACUUCAGGAAACUGGGGCUAAUACCGGAUAGGAGCUCCUGCUGCAUGGUGGGGGUUGGAAUGUUUCGGCGGUUGGGGAUGGACUCGCGGCUUAUCAGCUUGUUGGUGGGGUAGUGGCUUACCAAGGCUUUGACGGGUAGCCGGCCUGAGAAGGUGACCGGCCACAUGGGGACUGAGAUACGGCCCAGACUCCUACGGGAGGCAGCAGUGGGGAAUAUUGCACAAUGGGCGGAAGCCUGAGGCAGCAACGCCGCGUGCGGGAUGACGGCCUUCGGGUUGUAAACCGCUUUCGCCUGUGACGAAGCGUGAGUGACGGUAAUGGGUAAAGAAGCACCGGCUAACUACGUG